CGAAAGGCCGACCCAGAGCUGCGCGCCCGAUACGCGGAAACACAUCGGCCGCGCCGGGAGGCCGACCCCGAGCUGCGCGCCCGAGAAGCCGAAGCUCAACGGUAGCGGCGAAAGCCCGACCCCUACCUGCGCGCCCGAGACGCGGAAACACAUUGGCAGCGCCGGGAGUCCGACCCCGAGCUGCGCGCCACAGAUGCCGAUUUUAAACGGCGGCGCCGGGAGGCCUACCCCGAGCUGCGCGCCCGAGACGCGGAAACAC
rnacentral:lncRNA from 1 species